rnacentral:rRNA from 1 species
GAUGAACGCUGGCGGCGUGCCUAAUACAUGCAAGUCGAGCGAACAGACGAGGAGCUUGCUCCUCUGACGUAAGCGGCGGACGGGUGAGUAACACGUGGAUAACCUACCUAUAAGACUGGGAUAACUUCGGGAAACCGGAGCUAAUACCGGAUAAUAUAUUGAACCGCAUGGUUCAAUAGUGAAAGACGGUUUUGCUGUCACUUAUAGAUGGAUCCGCGCCGCAUUAGCUAGUUGGUAAGGUAACGGCUUACCAAGGCAACGAUGCGUAGCCGACCUGAGAGGGUGAUCGGCCACACUGGAACUGAGACACGGUCCAGACUCCUACGGGAGGCAGCAGUAGGGAAUCUUCCGCAAAGGGCGAAAGCCUGACGGAGCAACGCCGCGUGAGUGAUGAAGGUCUUCGGAUCGUAAAACUCUGUUAUUAGGGAAGAACAAAUGUGUAAGUAACUAUGCACGUUUUGACGGUACCUAAUCAGAAAGCCACGGCUAACUACGUG